rnacentral:misc_RNA from 1 species
AGGAAUACCCAUCAUCGGCAACAUGUUAUGGGGCAUUACAUUGGAAGCGGACGGAUUACCCAUAUGCUGUUGGGGCAUGAACGUCGAGGGUUGCAAGAUGGGAAGCAUUGCACUAGGCCCAAUAUACUCUGCCAGCUCUUUCUUGGCAUGGUAGAGUUCACUCUGAAGUUGCUUGAGUCUUUUUUGAAGGAUGGAGAUUAGACCCACGCAGCCGUAGACAGGAUCGCGUAAACGCUCCUCAGCUUCAUAAGCGAGGGAAUUGACGGCAUCUUCUCGU